rnacentral:lncRNA from 1 species
UGGCCCCUGCACACUCCACUGCCCUUGCUGGCUGCCCUGUUUGUGGCCCUAGCCUAGAGUCCCCCAGCUCUGGCUAGAAAGAUCAUUCAAAGUGACAUCUGUGAUGCAGACCUUAAUGAUGAUAGAUGGCAGCAUGCCCUGGACUUCGCCAUCAGUGAGUACAACAAGGAGAGAAUGAUGAACACUACAGUCACCCCGCAGGUGCUGCCAGGCCAACAGCAGAUGUGGGCUGGGUGAGCUACUUCUUUGAUAUGAAGAUAGACCUAACCACAUGCACUAAGUCUCAGCCAGACUUGGACAACUGUCUCUUCAGUGACCAGCCACAGUUGAAGGAGAAACAGUUCUGCUCUUUCCAGAUCUACGAAGUUCCCUUGAAGGACAGAAUGUCCCUGGUGAAAUCCAGGUGUGGGAAAGCCUAG